UCCCAUCCCGAACAGGACCGUGAAACGACUCCACGCCGAUGAUAGUGCGGAUUGCCCGUGUGAAAGUAGGUAAUCGUCAGGC
rnacentral:rRNA from 1 species